GCAAGAGUGAGUGGGAUCAGAAAUUAAUGACACCGGAUGAUUCAGCAAAGCAGGGUCACACAUUGUUCAGGAGGAUGCAGACACCCAGGCUGAUGGAUGACCGUUCAGACUGUUUCCCUGGGUUCAGCUUUACUCGGGAAAUCGUAAUUCACCCCCUGGGAGAGGCUGAAGGGCGGACCAGGUCCUCGCCUCUGCUCCGCGCUCAUUUUCUCCUGAAUCCAGGAUGCGACAAAGAGGCUAAGAGCUCUGCUGCCUUGGCCGAGCUUUAUGGAGAGGUGGAGUAAAUCAUCAGCCACAGCUGUCCCCUCACCAAAUUCCACAGAAUUGCACUGUACUGAGGACUAAAACUCAUUUGCACACUCAUAUACAUUCACCCAUAGUCCUUGUCAAUAGUAGGUUUGAUGACAGGAUGAUACACACAAUGACCUGAUGUUGAAUGUAAAUGUGAUUGUAUCUGUGAGUGGGAGCUAUAAAAGCAUUUCAUGAGUAGUGUCAUCGGCAUUUGUUCUCUCCGGAUGGACGCAGCUAUGACCCUUUGCCGGGGUACAAGAAAGUUUCACCAUCUUGAUCUGCUGGUUCACACUGUAUCUUCAAUGUUUUGCAACAUCAAAAUAUAACUGAAAACCUCUUUCCACGUGAGAAAAGAAAAAAAGCCCCUCGCUCAUGAAAACAUGCUUGUUCAAACCACAAAAGGUACUCUCACAUCCCCAAACUUUGAAGGAACUCUCUCAUUUUCAUGCUCAAAAUAACACUGAAAAACAACUUAAACUACUUUUCUCACAUAGCCAUGAAGUGGACAUGUGGUCAAGCUGGAGCUAGAGUUCGACUCUAAAAUCAAUGUGAUUACACACAAAAAAAAGCAUGAGCACUAUCUUCAUUAUGAGACACGCUGUCCACUAGAUCCUUCAACUUUGCUACAUAAUGACAUCAUAGGUCACUCAGGCUACCUAAUGGGGGCCAGUGACCAAGACUGAUGAUUCCUUAGCUCAGUGCACGCCAUCACCACCGGCGCUCUCUGCCAAGUAUUCAAUUAGGGUCUGUGAGUAAUUGGGUGUAGAUGAGGUAGAGAUCAUCGUUAAGCUCAAUGUGGACGGUCUUGUAAAUGUGUGUGACAGAGAGUGGAGAGGGAGAGAGAAAGAAUUUUGCCUGUCAUGCCUUGAGUGACUCAGUAAUAAAAAGAGUUUCUAAACAUUCCACAUAAACACUCAGGCAGACAUCUCUGGAGCUGUACAGGGCUUGCCCACCAUCUGCUUGUGUAGCUCAUCAUUUAAAGUAAAUGGAAUAAGACAGGAAAGCACAUUAAACAAUUGCAGAUCACUCUCCAGAACAUGGUAUCUAAACUACUUCAGUAUUUUAUUCCCAAAAUUCAACAUAUGCAUUUUGGGGAAGAAAUGUCAGCAGAAAUCAGUAAAUCUUCUGGGAACACAAAUGAUUCUGCCUUCAGAAGCAUGAAUGCAAUGACUUUAAUACUAAACCAUAAGGAGUUUUAUAUGAUGACUUGUUUUCAGAUAAGAUCAGACAUCAGUAUCCUCCACCACAGAGACCACAACCUUAGUUAAUGUGUGUAUCUCCCCAAUGACUUUCCCUUAACAGUCUCCACUGAGACUCUUCAGUCUCUUUUGACUGCAACAACCUCGUGCCUUAUCUAUUUUUUCCUGUUUGCUUUCCUUUUGUGCUCGACUGUAAUUGUUGAAACAACAACAGACAUGACUGAAAGAGAAGAGUGCGGUGGUCAAGUUGAAAAAGCAAUACUGAAUAAACACAUCAUAAGCCUCUCUGAGAAUAGUCACACCAAGGCUAUAAGAUAUAUGCUUGUUGCAGACUAUGCAAAAUCAUUGCAAGUAAAGAUGUUUUUUUUAUUGUGUCAUAUGCUUGAGCCACAUGUCUAAAUAUCAUUAUCAUAGUUAGAAUCAUGAUACAAAGUUUGUGUGCAAAAUAUUCUGCAGGGCAAUUGCAAGGAAAUAUCUAUAAUUGUGGCGGUCACGUGUGUGACCUCUCUUGGUUUUAAAUGUAGCAGAAAUAACAAAUAAACAAUUUGCCCAGAGAGCUUGUAAACAGA